UUCCGGUUGAUCCCGCCGGAGGUUACUGCUAUCGAGGUUCGACUAAGCCAUGCGAGUCGGAUGUAGCAAUACAUGGCGAACUGCUCAGUAACACGUGGACAACCUGCCCUUAGGACGGGGAUAAACCCGGGAAACUGGGUAUAAUACCCGAUAGGUCUCGAUUGCUGGAAUGCAUCGAGAUUUAAAGCUCCGGCGCCUAAGGAUGGGUCUGCGGCCUAUCAGGUAGUAGUGGGUGUAGCGUACCUACUAGCCUACGACGGGUACGGGUUGUGAGAGCAAGAGCCCGGAGAUGGAUUCUGAGACACGAAUCCAGGCCCUACGGGGUGCAGCAGGCGCGAAAACUUUACAAUGCUGGCAACAGCGAUAAGGGAACCUCGAGUGCCAGGUUACAAAUCUGGCUGUCGAGAUGCCUAAAAAGCAUUUCAUAGCAAGGGCCGGGCAAGACCGGUGCCAGCCGCCGCGGUAACACCGGCGGCUCGAGUGGUAACCGUUAUUAUUGGGUCUAAAGGGUCUGUAGCCGGCCGGAUAAGUCUCUUGAGAAAUCUGGCAGCUUAACUGUCAGGCUUUCAGGAGAUACUGUCUGGCUCGAGGCCGGGAGAGGUGAGAGGUACUUCAGGGGUAGGGGUGAAAUCUUGUAAUCCUUGAAGGACCACCAGUGGCGAAGGCGUCUCACCAGAACGGACCUGACGGCAAGGGACGAAAGCUAGGGGCACGAACCGGAUUAGAUACCCGGGUAGUCCUAGCCGUAAACGAUACUCGCUAGGUGUCGGCCACGGUGCGACCGUUGUCGGUGCCGUAGGGAAGCCGUGAAGCGAGCCACCUGGGAAGUACGGCCGCAAGGCUGAAACUUAAAGGAAUUGGCGGGGGAGCACCACAACGGGUGGAGCUUGCGGUUUAAUUGGAUUCAACGCCGGG
rnacentral:rRNA from 1 species